GUGAGCCACCGUGCCCGGCCAAUUUUUGUAUUUUCAGUAGAGACGGGGUUUCAUCAUAUUGGUCAGGCUGGUCUCAAACUCCUGACCUCAGGUGAUCUGCCUGCCUCGGCCUCCCAAAGUGCUGGGAUUACAGGUGUGAGCCACCAUGCCCGGCCAUUACAAAGGGCAUUUUAAUUAGCAUAGAGAAAAACAAAUAGGAACACAAAGUUCUGUCUUCAAUGUAGAUACUUCAAUGUUGUUUCUUGCCUGUGCAAGGGAGGGAAGGAUGGUUUGAAUUUAUGAAGAUCACCUGAGGAUCUACUGUUGCUCUAUUUGCUCGAGCAGGAGGUCAGGGACCCCUCACUCUGCUCCUUAUCCCUCAUGCACUCCAUCACCAAAUCUCCAAGUACAUCAUGAGUCCAUUUGUUUGCACCUUGCUACCACCCCACUAUCCCGAUCGUCCAUCACCUGUAGACGGGCAGGAGCUUCCUCACUGGUCUUCCCAUGCACUCUCACCUCCCUCCAGUGAGUUCUGCAACUGUAGCCGGCCGCGACUGCAUUGCACCCAAACUGAAUCCCAUGAAUGCUCAGAGUAAGACCCCAUGGAUGCCCGCCAUCACCUGCCUCUGAUCCAUCUCAAGGUCUUUCCCAAGUGAGCCUCUGGCUUCCUCUCCAGUGUCACUGCUCAACCCUCUGCCCAGAGGCUAUCUCUGCCCACUUUACCCAGUUGCCCCAUCCUACAGGUUUCAGCUCCAAGGUCCCUUCCUCAGAGAAGCCCUCCUGGACCAGUUCCAACUCCUGGUGGCGGUGCCUGGCACUUUUUCUCCAUAUCCAUUAUCAUACUGUGCAAUAAGAUCUUUCUGCGUACUUGGGGGUGAUUAUUUAACUGAUGUCCACCUCCCUCCACUAGACUGUGUGCUAAAUGAAGAUGGGUAGGUACCAUGUCUGUUUUUGCUUAUUGUUGCAUUCCAGUGCCAAUCACAGGGCCUGGCAUAUAAUAGGCAGUCCAGUAAUAAUCUGGUUAUUUGAAAGAGCACAGGAAGGAAGACCCAGGGCAUAUUGGCUGUUGUUGCUGACACUGGUGCUGAAGGGCUUUGGUGAGGAUGCUUAGGGAGGAAGUGAUGAAUCAGAGCAGAUUGGGUUGGGAUGGCAGAAAGGAUCAGAAAGCUAAGCUAGACCCAUUCUUUGCAGCUGGGCCAGAGGGUAGGACGGUGAGUAAUGAUAGCACUUCGGGGGUCACCUCGGGGAUGAUAGUCUUGUCAAGUCUUAUACGUGACAGGGAGAAGCAAUGGCUAAUACAUCUAUAUAUCGAUAAUAUGAAUAAAUAAUUUUAGAAGUGUCUUCAUGCACAAACCAAUGAUGAAAGCAGGCCAUGAAUGGAGACACAUGAUCAGUUUCACUGUGUGUCCUAAAACACAUUAUUUUUAGGAGUUUCCUAAAAAUAAACCCCAAGGCUCAGUGACCAAACGUCAAUGAUGAUAACAACGAGCGUUUUCCUUCCUAGGGUGGAACAUCUUUUGAAGAGCUCAGACCCUGGACCCCUGAUCUUAAUGAGCUUUGCAGCCUUCAGUGACACAACCUGGAUUUAAACUCAUGGAUGUCGGCCUCUGCUCUGCGUUGAAUUGUAUCCUCCCAAAAAGGAGAUGUUGGAGCUCUGAGACCCAGCACCUCAGAAUGUGUUUCUACUUGGAAAUAGGGUCUUUACCAAGACCCUAUUCCAAUAGGACUGGUGACCUGUGGGAGAAAUGUGGACACAGAGACAGACAGACAUAGAGGGAAGAUGACGGCAGAGUCACAGGGAGAAGACGGUCAUCUACGAGCCAAGGAGAGAGGCCUGGCACAGAUCCUUCCCUCACAGCACCCAGAGAGCCUUCAGACAAUACAUCUGUGCUGUGUAAGCCGCUCCGUCUGUGGCUCUCUGUUACAGCAGCCCCAGAAAACAAAUAGAGACUCUUAAUUGCCAAGCCAUGUUCCUCCCAUAGUACGAUUUCUCAUCAGAUAGUCUAUCUUCGCUGCUAAAACAGGUAUUUCUGGAUGGUAGAGGUCAUGUGUAGCUUGCAUAUUUAGUAUGAGGUAUGUGAAAGUCACCUCAUAGAUAUUAAAUUAUUUGGCUACAGCUUUGAGCUUGGCCUCUCUCUUAAGGAUUACCUUGCCAUAGGGACAGGAAGCCAUCGUGAUAUAAAGGCUGAAGUUUCUGUAAGAUUUUGAUUUUUAAUCUAACAUGAUAUUAACAACUGUGCCCGUUGGGCGUGAUGGCUCACACCUACAAUCCCAGCACUUUGGGAGGCCAAGGCGGAGGAUCACUUGAGGUCAGGAGUUUGAGACCAGCCUGGCCAACAUGGUGAAACCCCGUCUCUACCAAAAAUACAAAAAUUAGCCGGGCUUGGGGGUGCAUGCCUGUAAUCCCAGCUACUUGGGAGGCGAAGGCAGGAGAAUUGCUUGAACCCAGGAGGUGGAGGUUGCAGUGAGCCAAGACUGUACCACUGCGCUCCAGCCUCGGCAACAGAGUGAGACUCUGUCUCAAAACAGACAAACAAACAAAAUAAUAACUGUACCUAUACAAGGUCCCCAAGAUAAUUAAAAGGCUCACUUGAGCAGAGUAACUGAGGAGAGUCUUUUGGGGUUCUUUGUUUUUUUUUUUUAGAGACAGUCUCACUCUGUCGCCCAGUCUAGAGUGCAGAGGCGCAAUCUUGGCUCACUGCAACCUCCGCCUCCCAGGUUCAAGAGAUCCUCCUGCCUCGGCCUCUCAAAGUGCUGGGACUACAGGCACAUGCCACCAUGUCCGGCUGAGGAAUGUUUAAUAAAAGGGGUAUUUACCAAGAUAUAAGCAAGGUAUAGAGAAAUCAGCAGGGUUGAUGAAGCACCCCGGGGCUACCAACAACCAAAAGCCCUUCCCUCUCCAAGGCCUCCAAAGGCAGCAGGAGGGAGUGGUUAUCAGAAAAUGGCAAGAUCCAUAGGAAAAAGGCCACCCCAUGGGAGCUGUGGGUUUCAGUAGAGGGACACAGCCACUGCCAGACCAUGGCCAGCCAGGGAGUUAAUAGCCCAGCCCCACCUUGGCCCUCCCAUCUCCCACUCCUCCUUAUUGGCUGAACCCAGCAAGAAACCAGAUGUCACAGAACCAGGAGAUGUGGUCCCCACUGCCCGGCCUCUUGGGCACAGAGGAGGGAAGAGAAAAUGGAGAGUGGAUCUGGAGGGGCAAAUGAAGUAUUAAUAUUCUGUACACUCAGAAUGUCCACAGAGUGAACACUGGCUUGCCGGCUGACCCCAUUUCUUGAAAAUCAUCCUAUCCCUGCAGGUUAUUUAUGUUGUUACCCUUUUGCAAGAACCACAUAAAAUAUUUUACAUGCUUUUAAAACUCAUAAAUGUAAUGAAGCCAAGAUGUUUCAGCAAAUGUGCUCAAUGGGCAAAUCCUUCCAAAGAUCUGCUCUCAGCUGACGUCAGGACAAAAGGCACAUCUCACGACCUGCAGAGCGUCUGACGUUAAAGCCAAUAAAUUCAUCCCCCUGACCCACAUGGCUUCCAGAAUGUACAAGCUGUCAGUGGAUCUUAAAAAUGUAUCUAUUCCUUCAUUCACUUCCUGCCGUUCGUCUCUUGCAAGUAUUUACUGCUCUUUAAAAACUGAACUCCACCAGCUGGAAAUGCAUUAGUGCAGGGAGAUGGCUGUACUUUGUUCCGGCAGGAAUUGUGCAUGCAACUUCCAAUCUGACUUUUCUGAGACAUUAAUAAAAACACAUGCGUCCUGAAAUUUGGGUUGAUAAUCUUUGGGGGCUCAGUGUAAAAACCAGUAAGAGUUUUAGCACAAAGCCUGGCAUUCAAAAAGAGAAGCUGGGCCGGGCGCGGUAGCUCCCGCCUGUAAUCCCUGCACUUUGGGAGGCCGAGGCGGGCGGAUCAGGAGGUCAGGAGAUUGAGACCAUCCUGGCUAACACGGUGAAACCCCGUCUCUACUAAAAAUACAAAAAAAAAUUAGCCGGGCUUGGUUG
rnacentral:lncRNA from 10 species